rnacentral:rRNA from 1 species
AACCCCUGUGAACAUACCUUAAUGUUGCCUCGGCGGAUCAGCCCGCGCCCCGUAAAACGGGACGGCCCGCCAGAGGACCCAAACUCUAAUGUUUCUUAUUGUAACUUCUGAGUAAAACAAACAAAUAAAUCAAAACUUUCAACAACGGAUCUCUUGGUUCUGGCAUCGAUGAAGAACGCAGCAAAAUGCGAUAAGUAAUGUGAAUUGCAGAAUUCAGUGAAUCAUCGAAUCUUUGAACGCACAUUGCGCCCGAUGGUAUUCCGGCGGGCAUGCCUGUUCGAGCGUCAUUUCAACCCUCAAGCCCUCGGGUUUGGUGUUGGGGAUCGGCUCUGCCUUCUGGCGGUGCCGCCCCCGAAAUACAUUGGCGGUCUCGCUGCAGCCUCCAUUGCGUAGUAGCUAACACCUCGCAACUGGAACGCGGCGCGGCCAUGCCCGUAAAACCCCAACUU